rnacentral:antisense_RNA from 1 species
CUUGAGCGACCCCAGCCACAGCGGCCACUCUUCGGGGCGGUCACCGUAGACCGCUUGGAGGGCCCGGGCCUC